rnacentral:rRNA from 1 species
GGAGCUUGCUUUAUAUAACUUAGCAGCGAACGGGUGAGUAACACGUAGAUAAUCUAUCCUAUACUGGGGGAUAGCCCGAUGAAAGUUGGAUUAAUACCGCAUAUAGCUAUAUAGUUGCAUGAUUAUGUAGUGAAAGAUUUAUUGGUAUAGGAGGAGUCUGCGGCACAUUAGCUAGUAGGUGAGGUAAAGGCUUACCUAGGCGACGAUGUGUAGCCGGUCUGAGAGGAUGAACGGCCACAAUGGAACUGAGACACGGUCCAUACUCCUACGGGAGGCAGCAGUGGGGAAUAUUGCACAAUGGGGGAAACCCUGAUGCAGCAACGCCGCGUGAGUGAAGAAGGUUUUCGGAUUGUAAAGCUCUGUUAGCAGGGAAGAGGAAGGACGGUACCUGCAGAGGAAGCCACGGCUAACUACGUGCCAGCAGCCGCGGUAAUACGUAGGUGGCAAGCGUUGUUCGGAAUAACUGGGCGUAAAGGAUGCGUAGGCGGUUAAACAAGUUAUAUGUUAAAUAUAUAGGCUUAACCUGUAGAAAGCAUAUAAAACUGUUUAACUAGAGUGCAGGAGAGGUAAGUGGAAUUCCUAGUGUAGCGGUGAAAUGCGUAGAGAUUAGGAAGAACACCAGUGGCGAAGGCGACUUACUGGACUGUAACUGACGCUGAGGCAUGAGAGCAUGGGGAGCAAACAGGAUUAGAUACCCUGGUAGUCCAUGCUGUAAACGAUGGGUACUAGGUGUGGGUUGUGAAUAACAAUUCGUGCCGUCGCAAACGCAAUAA